GUACAAACCAGUUCUUCUAUUAGAGCAACAACCCUAAAGUGCAAAUACACCUAUCUUCAUUAUGUUUUGAAUUUCAGGUACCAUUUGAACGAGCAAGCCAAAUGCAACCAAAGGCCACAAAAUGCUAAAGAGCUAUCCAAUCUCAGGCAUGCACAACUCCGUAAUCACAUCGAACGCAUCAUUGGCGUUGUGAAAAAGCGUUUCCCAGUAUUGAAGUGUGCUGCACAUUACCCAAUUGAAUUUCAACCUGAUAUUGUCAUAGCAUGUUGUGCACUUCAUAACUUUAUUCGCAAUCAUGAGGGGGGCGAACAAUGGUUUGACCAGGUUGGCUCCAAUAUUGACCCAACACAUAUAGUUGAUAUUCCAAGUGGGGAUGCAAAAUACAGAAGUGAUGUACAAUCU
rnacentral:rRNA from 1 species